rnacentral:ncRNA from 1 species
AGGAGCGUGGUGAAGGGAAACUUUCACGCCACGUUCUGGAGGGAAGUAGGGAUAGGCGACUAUCUCUACUCACCUAAC